rnacentral:rRNA from 1 species
UACAGAGGGUGCAAGCGUUGUUCGGAAUUACUGGGCGUAAAGCGCGUGUAGGCGGUUGUUCAAGUCGGGUGUGAAAGCCUUGAGCUCAACUCAAGAAAUGCACUCGGUACUGGAUGACUAGAGGACCGGAGAGGAUAGUGGAAUUCCCAGUGUAGUGGUGAAAUACGUAGAGAUUGGGAAGAACACCAGUGGCGAAGGCGGCUAUCUGGACGGUUUCUGACGCUAAGACGCGAAAGCGUGGGGAGCAAACAGG